CACACCGCCCGUCACAUCAUGGGAGUUGGUUUUACCCGAAGUCGCUGACUCAACCGCGAGGGGAGAGGCGCCGAAGGUAGGGCUGAUGACUAGGAUG
rnacentral:rRNA from 1 species